CAAUACUCAUUGCACAUUACCUCCAGAGCUCUUUCAAGGUCAAAGAAAACAUCCAGUAAAGUUAUUCGCUGCCUUCCCUUCCAAAAUUGUCAACUGCUUCUGCUUCAUUACAGUUCUGGCUUUAGUUGUGGUUGUACUUUCUGUUAGCUUAA